UCAGUAUCCCUAAAUCGGGUCUCACGCGUCCUGUCCUACACAAAAUUCAUCAUCAGUGGAACAAUAGCGAGUUGGUGAAGCUCAAGUUUCAUGAGUUUCUUUCCCAGAAUAUGAAACUUGCUCAUGACAUCGUUCAGGUAUAUGCUGCAGGCUUUGUUACUGAUUGGUUCUGAUAAUUUAAGAAUAUAGUAUUUGAAGAUUGUAUCAUCUAUAUAUUUUAUUGUUAUAUUUAAAGAGCUAAAAGUUUAGAUGUAUUAUUAGCACUUUUGUUGUUAACUAUUAAGUUUUUGAGAUUAACAUGACUAAGUUUGGGUUGCAUUUUGGUUAAAUAUAUAUGUUUGAUAUAUAUAAAAGAACUUUUCAAGUCAUAAUUAGGUACAUGUAAUCUGAAGUCCCGCCAGACCCGUCCCGCCAGACCCAUGGGAUAGCAGGGGUUUCCUACUAGUUAAGAAGUGAAAGGUUAACCCAAGAAGACGUUCGAAAGUGUAUCAAUCAAUGAAGCUAUCAUCAACACUGAAUUUGAACCCUCUCACUUUUCAAUCCAAAUUCAAAUUCACACUUUCCAUUCUCAACUCUUUUUCUUUCUCUUCUCUCUCCAACCACGAUACCACCCAAUGCAAUCGCAAUUUCAACAACAACGCCAUCGACAGAAUCCUUCUCCGCAUUCGCACUUUAUCCGAACUUUCCAAUCAUCAUCACGAUGAACCUACCCGAACCCUACCGCCACAUCAAUUUUUGCAGCGACAAUGGCUUUGCUCCGAUGACGCGAUUUUUCCAUCGGAGAACAACGAAGAAAGGGUAUUGAAGAAGAAAAAGAAGAAGAACGAAGUGAUGGCACAGUGUUUGGCGGAAGAAGAACUGAAUCGAUUGCGAACAAUCGGAAUGCAUCUGAAGGAGAAAAUUAGUAUCCCUAAAUCUGGUCUCACGCGUCCCGUCCUACACAAAAUUCAUCAUCAGUGGAACAAUAAUGAGUUGGUGAAGCUCAAGUUUCAUGAGUUUCUUUCUCAGAAUAUGAACCUUGCUCAUAACAUCGUUCAGCGUCGAACCGGAGGAAUAGUUAUAUGGAGGUCAGGAAGUGUUAUGUGGGUGUAUCGCGGAGACAACUAUCAAGGGCCAACAACCAAUACCAAACAUAAUUCAAAGAGUGAAUCGGUUGUGUGGAAUCAACAACAGCAUGAUAACAUGACGCCCGAGGAGAUGGAGUUUAACCGGAUGCUUGAUGGUUUGGGUCCUCGUUUUGUUGAUUGGUGGGGUACAGGAAUACUUCCUGUUGAUGCCGAUUUGCUUUCCCCUAUAGUUCCUGGUUACACAACACCUCUUAGGCUUCUUCCCACCAAAAUGCAUCCGCGACUCACCAACGACGAGCACGCAAAAAUGCUGAAACUUGCCAAAGCUCUUCCUUGUCAUUUUGCCUUGGGGAGAAAUAGAAAUCUUCAAGGUCUAGCAUGUGCUAUUCUUAAGCUUUGGGAGAAAAGUUUGGUUGCAAAGAUUGCUGUCAAGCUUGGUGUCCAGAAUACCAACAAUGAACUGAUGGCUCUGGAGUUGAAGAAAUUAACAGGAGGUACCUUGCUGCUAAGGAAUAAAUAUUACAUUGUAAUAUAUCGCGGGAAGGAUUUCGUUCCAGCUAAUGUGGCUGCCAUUUUAUCGGAAAGACAGCAAUUGAUGAAACAGGUGCAGGAUGUUCAGAAGAAGGUGCGAUGCAGAGCUAUUGAUGUAACUGGGGAAAAUGAAAUAAAUACCCAAGCAGGAUUGUCAUAUGAGUUCAAUGAGGCUCAAGCAUUCCGGGGAGGGGAAGUAUCACCUGUAGAAUGUGAGAAGAUGAUGAAAGAGGCUGCUGAAGCGAGUAAUGUUAGGCUUAUGAAAAAAAUGGAACGCAAACUAGUUGUUAUACAUGAAGAGGCCGAUGUCAAAAUAGAUGCAUCUCUGGUUCCAGCUAGUCCUGAUAAUAGGAGGGAAAAAAUCACAGAUGAAGAACGUGUUAUGUUCCGUGUGGUUGGUUUAAAAAUGAAGGUGUACUUACAACUUGGUACACGUGUUGUUUUUGAUGGUGUCAUUGAGAAUAUGCAUUUGCAUUGGAGGCAUCGAGAGCUUGUUAAAUUAAUAACAAGAGAAAAAAACCUUGCUUUUGUUGAAGAAAUAGCUGGUUUACUGGAAUACAAGAGUGGUGGUAUACUGGCAGCAAUAGACAGACUUCCCAAAGGAUUUUCUCUUAUUUACUAUCGUGGGAAAAGUUAUAGGCGGCCAAUUACUCUCCGACCUAGAAACCCUUUAAUGAAGGCAAAAGCAUUGCAGUGUUCAACAUCCAUGCAACGACACGAGAGUGAGGAUGAAGGCUUAUCAUCUAGGUGAUUUUGAUGAUAGUUGAAGAAAGUUAUUGGGAUGACUAAGAUUUCAAUCUCUUUGACCAGGAAAAUGUUUGAAGUUUGUUCGAUCGCACACUACACACACAUCAACAAUCUUGACUCAAGAUGAUGCGGGAAAAGCCGAAAAUCGAACUGCAAAAGUGUAACGUUGAGAAGAAUCAGAAAUCAAAAGGCUUUCAGAUUGAAGGUCUCAAAAUCACAUGCCCCAUCUACAAGUGUCAACAGAUUCAUGCAGAGUUGAUAAUGGUCAUUUAUAUUUGAACAACCACUACUGUGAUUUUCUUGAUUAAGGAACUCGUCAACUAAUGCUGGAGAAAGUGAUGUGUUAGUAUAUAACUCACAUCUCCCAAACUUUGAAACCACUAACUUUCCCUAACUUUAGUCCAUUUUGAUAGAGAUAGAAGAGAAAAGGAGAGGGAAAUAUGAUGUAAGAGAGAUGAAUCUUAGAGAGAUAUGGAGACAAAGUUAGAGGGAAGUUAUCACCAAUAAGUUAGAGGAUCCAUACCCCUACUACUGUGUAUUCAUGUCUAAAAAUUUUCUAAAGACAAACUUUAGUAAAUGCUAUUAGAUGUUGUGAAGUUAUUCUGUCUUAUCCAUUUUGUAUGAGUAUAUAGAAUUUCGAGAAGAAUGGUGCACUCAAAUCG